rnacentral:rRNA from 1 species
UGGGGAUGACGUCAAGUCCUCCAUGCUUAUGCUUAGGGCUACACACGUGCUACAAUGGGUGGUACAAAGAGAAGCCAACUCGCGAGAGCGCGCCAAUCUCAAAAAGCCAUCCUCAGUUCGGAUUGGAGUCUGCAACUCGACUCCAUGAAGUUGGAAUCGCUAGUAAUCGCGGAUCAGCAUGCCGCGGUGAAUACGUUCCCGGGCCUU